AGAAAGCACUGGAGUCAUCUGUCUAGCACAAAGAAGUAUGCUUCGUAGAUGUCGCUUGGGUGAGAUGCCUGUAUUUGCUGUUGCCUUUUACAGCGAAAUUAGAACGCAAAUGGUAUUUCGGUUUUUCAUUCUGGUGCGGCUAUUGGGAACGUGCGCGUAAUGCUAAUGGCAACCAUGAGAAGUGCAUUUAUUAUUUUUGCCACGGCACUUCUGACUAAAAAUGUUACUGGCUCACGCAAGACACCCGUGCCUGACCUACACGACCACUGUGCGCCAUGCACAUGCGCGACCACGAACUACGACUUCUGCCCCGUGAACUUCACGACACUCUGCUUCUGCAUUUGGGGAAAGUAUCGGCGAGGAUACGAUGGACCAUGCAUACCGGUGUCGGAAUGUUAUCGCUGAGUUUUAGGCAGCAUUACGCAUUAUGCCUUUGGGAGAAAAUAAAAAUGUAUCAAAAACCAACACAAA